UUUUCCCUGGAAAUAGCACUAAAUACUUAGCUUUUGAAAGUAAUUAGCUCUGACCUGAAACCACAUGUAGGAAUGUAAUCCAUCACAAACGACAGGAAAGGGACAUGUUUAAUAAGUUAUUGUACUUUAAUCACACAAAACAUCACACAAGCAUAACAAAGUACAUGGAGAAGAAAAAAAAGUCAUACUUAAUAAGCAAAAAAAAAAUAAAAAAAUUAAAGUGUAUCAUCUCCAAUGGUCCUAAAAAACAUCAUUUCCAUGCACGCAUGACAACAUGUUAUGGUAGAAAUACUCCUGUACUGAUUGCAUGACUUCAGUAGUAUUAGAAAAGGAGAAGAAGUCAGGAAGUGACAUCAUGCACGAAAGAGGAAUUUAGUGUGUAUUGUCUAUGGGUGGGGGUGGGGGGGGGGGUGUAUUACUGUGUAUAUAUAUAUGUGUGUGUUUAUGUUCUAUUGUGAGCACAUUACAGUGAUGUCUGUCCUGACACACAAUCCUCCAGCCUCCACAGGGCUCAGUGUUAAUUAAAAAAGGCUUCUCGUAUUGGCUGGGCCUCGCCGCCGAUGGGAGCUGCAGAUUUUGGACCGGAGCGAAGAGCAUCGAUGGUGAAGAGAGUUGAGGUACUUCUCUUCCUGAUGCUGCUGAUGCUAAAAAUUGCAGCACUAAGGGCUGAAGCGAGACUUCCUGCGAUCCUGGAUCAUGUGACCCCCCGUCUCAUGCCCGCCGUUUGGACGUUUCACGAGUUGGAGCAAAAGUGGGUGCCCUUUUUUCUGGCUUGAGCAUGUGACCUCUAAAAUGUCUGCGCACGGGUCUGCUCCCAAGCGGUGGUGCGCCAAAGAAAAGGAAAGCCAUCACCCGAUUGCUUGACUACGGCAACCAUCUGAAUGCUAAUGAAUCCUCGGAGGGGAGGGGGUCAUGGAUUCUGUGCACUGUCACCUGUAACUAAGGAAAAACGACGCCCCGUGAAGGCCACUCACCGUAGCAGGAGACGAUCUCUGCGCCGUGCCGCUCCUCUCCUUCCCGGGGAGGCGUCCUGCAGGAGGACCGGUGCAUGAAGAGGUGGAAUUUACUGAAAGCAGCCUGUCCGGCAUCCAGCGAGUGGCACUCCUGCGGGAAGGGGCUCCGGGACUUGUCUCCUCCGUACGCGUGACCUUUGUAUUUGGACUCAGUCCUCAAGUGGUCCUCCUGCUGGUCCCGACCUUGCGCUGCAGGAGGACUGUAAAACGCGUCCAUGGAGGUCAUGUCGCUGUACGGACUGCAAGUCUCCGAGUCCAUGCCUUCCAAAAAAAAAGAAAAAUGAAAACUUUCUCUCUCUCUUUUUUUUUUUUUUUUGCACACCCCUUUUCACGCACACGCAAAUCACGCACGGACCCGCCGCAGCUGGUUUUGCUUAUAAAACCAUUCAGACGUUUUGUGUCUUUGAGCAAACACCCCCUCGGGUCUGGGGUCUGACAAAGGGAUGAGGAUCAGGAUCAGGAUCAGGAUGACCUCCCGUCUCGGUGGAGACCUCUGCCAAGUGUUCGUGACGUGGACUACCGAGGCCGCUUAUUAGGAGCAAAGUGCUGCAAAAAAAAAAAAAAGUUUGCCAAUAAGGGCGUGACACGUGACAUUCACUGCGCGUGGAGAUAAAUGCGCGAGUGAUGGACGGCUAACACCGGAACACAAUUUCAUGCUUCAUCCCAGAUGCUGCAUUCACGGACAAUGACUUCAUUUGUUUGCAUUCCUAAACAUAUACUGCUUUGUUUUAUGUCCGUUUGGCUUAUAUCGCAUCAUAGGAGUCAUAAAAUAAAAAUGUUUUUGUAGUAAAAAAAAUCAUAAAAUAUGCACAAAAGGGCCUCCGGUAAUAGAAAAUAUUUCC